AACGAACGCUGGCGGCAGGCUUAACACAUGCAAGUCGAACGGAUGUAGCAAUACAUCAGUGGCGCACGGGUGAGUAACACGUGGAUAUCUGCCUUUUGGUUCGGAAUAACCCUGGGAAACUAGGGCUAAUACCGGAUGGUUCCUACGGGAUAAAGAUUUAUCGCCAAAAGAUGAGUCCGCGUCCGAUUAGCUAGUUGGUGAGGUAAUGGCUCACCAAGGCGACGAUCGGUAGCUGGUCUGAGAGGACGAUCAGCCACACUGGGACUGAGACACGGCCCAGACACCUACGGGAGGCAG
rnacentral:rRNA from 1 species